rnacentral:rRNA from 1 species
CGAGUGAAGCGGGAAGAGCUCAAGCUUAAAAUCUCCGUGCAAGUUUUGUGCGGCGAAUUGUAGUCUAUAGAGGCGUGGUCAGCGUGGGCGCUUGGGGCAAGUUCCUUGGAAGAGGACAGCAUGGAGGGUGAUACUCCCGUUCAUCCCUGAGUGGCUCGUGCGUACGACCCGUUUUCUUUGAGUCGCGUUGUUUGGGAAUGCAGCGCAAAGUAGGUGGUAAAUUCCAUCUAAAGCUAAAUAUUGGUGCGAGACCGAUAGCGAACAAGUACCGUGAGGGAAAGAUGAAAAGAACUUUGAAAAGAGAGUUAAAGAGUACCUGAAACUGCUGAAAGGGAACCGAAUCGUUUCCAGUGUCUAUAAUCUGUGGCAUAUUUCAUUGGCGAGCGUUUGCGUGCGUGUGCUGUGGCAGUGGCUUUUUUGGCUGCGCCUGGUGUGUGUGGUGUGAGUGUUUGCUGGUGCCCUGUGCUGCGGUGGGACGUCAAGGUCAGUUCGUAUGCUGCGGGAAAUGGCUGCCGAGGAGGUAGGGCUUACGCUCCGCGUUUGUCUGUUAUAUCUUGGUGGACGAGUCGUCGCGGUUGGGACUGAGGUGCCUACAACGUGCUUUUGAGUGGGUUUGUGUCUCCGUGUGCGCCGUGUGCGGAUAGCUUGCUAUGCGUGUGUGGUUGUGUGUGGAUUGAUGCGGGCCUUWAACUUGUCGCCGUUCGGGGACGUUGACG